AAGUACAGCCAUAUCACCCUGCAGGCUGCAGCCCAUGACUCACUGAAACUAAGCAGGGCUGAGCCUGGCCAGUAUCUGAAUGGGAGGACACAUGGGAAAGUUAGGUCGCUGUUGGAA
rnacentral:rRNA from 1 species